rnacentral:rRNA from 1 species
AGUGAACGCUGGCGGUAGGCCUAACACAUGCAAGUCGAACGGCAGCACAGUAAGAGCUUGCUCUUACGGGUGGCGAGUGGCGGACGGGUGAGGAAUACAUCGGAAUCUACUUUUUCGUGGGGGAUAACGUAGGGAAACUUACGCUAAUACCGCAUACGACCUACGGGUGAAAGCAGGGGAUCUUCGGACCUUGCGCGAUUGAAUGAGCCGAUGUCGGAUUAGCUAGUUGGCGGGGUAAAGGCCCACCAAGGCGACGAUCCGUAGCUGGUCUGAGAGGAUGAUCAGCCACACUGGAACUGAGACACGGUCCAGACUCCUACGGGAGGCAGCAGUGGGGAAUAUUGGACAAUGGGCGCAAGCCUGAUCCAGCCAUACCGCGUGGGCGAAGAAGGCCUUCGGGUUGUAAAGCCCUUUUGUUGGGAAAGAAAAGCAGCAGGUUAAUACCCCGCUGUUCUGACGGUACCCAAAGAAUAAGCACCGGCGAACUUCG